GAUGAAGAACGUAGCGAAAUGCGAUAAGUAGUGUGAAUUGCAGAAUUCAGUGAAUCAUCGAAUCUUUGAACGCACAUUGCGCCCCUUGGUAUUCCAUGGGGCAUGUCUGUUCGAGCGUCAUUUGUACCUUCAAGCUUUGGUUGGUGUUGGGUGUUUGUCCAUUCUCUUGCAGAGGGACUCGCCUUAAAGUAAUUGGCAGCCAGUGUUUUGGUUUUGAAGCGCAGCACAAGUCGCGAUUCAAAGCUAUACGCCCGCUUCCACAAGCUUUUUUCACUUUUGACCUCGGAUCAGGUAGGGAUACCCGCUGAACUUAAGCAUAUCAAUAAGCGGAGGA
rnacentral:misc_RNA from 1 species